AUCUUGCAGUUGAAUUGACAGAUACUUGUGAUUUUUUUAUUAUUAUUAUUUUUUUAGAUUUUGUAAUUUUAUUAUUAUGGAGAAUAGUAACUUUUGAAUUUUAUUAAUAUAAAAAUAAUUUUGUUGCGAUAGUCACAAACAAGAUCUCUGCCUUAGGUCUUGAGAGACAAGCAAAGAUAAAAUGGCAAAGUAUACUGUUUUUUAAAAAAUUUCCUUUUUAUUAUUGGAAAGUAAUUUCUUCCCUCCUCCCCACCUCUUCUGAACUUCCUGCUCUUCAUAAAUAACCUCCCAACACAUAAUUAAUAGUUAUUGUCCUUACAUCAUUUCAAAAUCUCUCUGCAUCUAACACAGACAUGGGUCUGGAAUUCUUUUGCUCUGACCUAAGAUAAAAGUCUUAGUGCAUGACAGUGGGAAAUAAAUUAAAUGAUUGUUAGAGGGCUAUUUUUAGGUUCAAUAACUGCACCAGGCACUGUUAUUUUAGGCUUCUGAUUUUCAACAGAACAAACAACAUUCAAGGGAAGAACUGUCAAGUGUGGAUGUUGGACAGAAAGGUGUUUCAGGUCUGUGCUGAGGCUCGUGUGAGGGUGUUUAUGUCUUUGCUUCGGGCUCCUCAGAUGGUCGCUUGAACAUUCAUUGUCCUUAUGCAGAGUCUCUUGCCAUUGGUGAUCUUCUUCUCCUAUCAAGGAUCCCAACAUGGGAAUGCCACUAAUAAAGCAGUGCCUUUACCAGGCGUGCCAGAUCUUGCAGCACCGCAAUUGUAUUCACCUCUGGCUUCUAGUGGCUGGAUAUAGGGCAGAUCCACUCUGUAGCCUUGGCAGCAGGAGUGAUUUUUCAAGAUACAAAUAAAAAUGCAGUGUCUAUGCCCUGCAGUCUGUCAGUGGACUUUGGUGCCUCGCUGCCCUUCUGGGUUUCUCUUUUUAAAUUUUUCUUCUUAUUCUUUUGUUUGUUUGUUUGUGGGUUUUGUUUUGUUUUGUUUCUAGUCUCUACUGUUAGGCAAAAACAAAACAAAACCGCACACAAAGUUGUUCACAUUAGUAGCAUUUCAUAUUGGUUUUGUUCUAGAAGGUAAUUAUUAGGAUUAUCUGAUUCAUUCUUCUUUUUUGUUAUUAUUAUCAGAUCAGAAAGUAAAAAUUUUCUUGUACAAGCAGAGAAGGCACCAGCCUUGGUCUCUUAAAAGUGUGAUGUUUGCUGUUUCAUUCAGUUACUAUAGGUACUGUAACUAUUUCGUACCAGAUCUCCCUCCGUUUAAGCUUAGUUUGGUAUGAGCUUAUUGUGAAGCCAGGACCCUGAGUCAAUUUAAAGAUUGUCCUGCCAUCCUGGGUCAGGGGACAAACCACUGAUAACAGCCUUGGUGACCAACAACAAAAUGAGCGACCACUGAAAAUGAGCAGACUUUCUGGAUGAGCAAGUUGUCAGCUUUCUUAUUGAAGGAGCAACCUGAAACAAGAAGGCUUAUUCUAGCUGUUUAUUUCACAAAUAAACGGACUAAAUGUUGAUCAGCUGAACUUGAUGCCUGCUGGCAUUUAAGCAGCAUUGACAUUUAGAACUUGUUUAAAAUAUUUAGAGAGGGUAAUCCCUCCUACAGAUACAUACAAAUAUGGCCAUAGUACAUUUCACAGUGCACAUUUCCUAGGGUAUAUGAAAGCUUUAAAAUCUCCCAUAAAACCUUCAGCCAAAAUGUUCAUAACCCACUUAUUCCAGAUGCUUUUAAGGAUUCUGUGGAAUACUUGUUUUUCUAGAUCUGGCUCUCUGCACACGGCAAACAACCAGCAUUCUCCUGAAAUUGUAUCUAAAGGCACUUUUCAGACAGUAAAAUACGGUAUUUGUUGAAAUGCUAACUUUUGCGAUGCUGAUAGAAAGUAAGAUACCAGAAUUAAGCAUCAAACAGUUGCUAGUGAUGUCUCAUUUCAGCUGAAUUAGGUUAUCAGGGAAAUCUUUAGUCGUAUCCUCUUCUACACUGCAUGUUCUUACUUGUUCUUUUACCUGCAUAGAAACAGGAGAAACUAAGCCUGAGACUUGCCAAUGCUACAAGGAGUAUGUGCCGCUUCCAGGGCGCUUGUGCUGGGCCUAGUGCUCAUCUCACCACAGGGUCGGCAAGCCAGGCCCGAUAGCCCUUCUGGCCAGUCCUUGUUCUGUGACUGUUGAUUUGGGUCAUAUCGUAGUUGGGUGCCAGAGUCGACUUGAGAGAUGUCAGAGAAGUGUGUGUCUCGGGGAGGAAGGGAGUUGAGACAGAACUGGGAAAAGCGAUAAAGGUGGCAGGUGGGUUUGCAGGUUUUAGCACUUAACAGAAAGCUUCCAGAUAUUUGCAAGUGUUUCUUGCUUAGAUUUGUUGUGCUAUAUACCUGGAGUGGUAAAUGAGUAGCGAGAGCUGUGCUAAAUCAUCAGCGUUCCUUUGGCAUCGUCCCUCCCCAGGGCCGCUACCGCUGUACAGGAGUAGAUUUGACCUGUGGUGUCCAGGCAGGGCAGCACUGCUGAGACAACCUCUUGUGGAGAUACACAGAGCGCUACUACUGAGAGAACUGGGGUUUUGUCUUUAAAGAGGGCUCUAGGUGUCACCUGUCUGUGUAUAGUGUGACUGUGUUCUUCGGUGAUAUUCAUUUUGUCACAUCAUCCUUGUAGUAUGUCUUGUAUUUUUCUUUCAAAUAUUUAGAAAUCUACAUUAAGUCAUUUAAAAAUCAGUUUUAAAAGCCCCAAAGCAUCAACAGAAAUGCACAAAACUAUCACUUUAAUCCACUAUAGCUCUUUAUUCUAUUUAUGGUGUAUCAGGUUUUUUUAAACAGGCAGACUAAUUACAGGCUCAAAUUAAUAUUUUAUGCUUCUUUUUAAAAUUAAUUUAAACUUUAACCCUGAAAAUUGGGAUGAUUGAGUCAGUGGUUGCUGUGGAAAUGUUCAUUUGAUACAUACAGCUGUAGCUGAGUGUUUGUUUCCCCCUGACUUGCAGCUUCUCCUACUUCUCUCGCUGUUGGUAACUGCUGCCUUUUGCAAGGCAUCCAGGAGGAUGAUGUGAGUGUCCUGUUAUCUGCCUCAGGCAAAAUGAGCUAGUAGAUAAGCGUGAUAAUUUAAAUGGCUGAUCUGAGCUAACUUGUCUGAGUUUUUGCCUGAAUGAUAAGGUGGUGCUUGCCUGCUGACUCGGCAGCGCCCUGGCAGAGGCAGAUGGUGAGUUCAGGUGGUUCAUGUCAUCUUCUAGUUCACCUUAACUUUGAACAAGACACACAUCCACUUGCUUUAGUGUCUUCAGAGGGCAAGGGCUAUUCUUAGAUCUUGUUUUAGAGCAAAUUUAUACAGAGCUGAAGCAUGUUUUGCAGUAGUCUAACCCAGACUGCAUUUGUACCAAAACUUGCUUUAACCUCUGUUAGCCUCUGUUCACUGGAGCUGAGGGCAUAGGACAUGAUAUAUUUGGGGGUUUGUGAAGAACUUCACUUCUGGGAACAUGCUGAUUUUCGUUCUGAUAAUUGGGACGGUAGGAGGUACAAUUCAGGAAGAUGAUCUAUAUCUGACUGUUUUAUACUGACUUCAGCUCACCACAAAUUGCUGGGCUCUUUCCUGGUCAUCAUCAGAUGAAUGAUUUUCCUGUUGUUUCCUUUUUUCCCUUUAAGGAAGGAGAACUGCACCUGAAUUGCAGUUUUCAGUCUGAGGUUUUACAGCACAAUGGAAGAUUCUUGCCUCUUCUGCCUCAGGAAUGAAUGGCACAGGCUCAGAGCUGAUGGCUUCCAACUGGGAACUUGAAUAACUCUAUGAUAAGAGAGAGUCAACAGAGACAUUGUGACCAGUCUGCACGUGUGUCAUAAGGUGUGUGUUUGCGUACAUGUGCAGCUUCUCUGGCACCGAGUGCUGGUAUAGAUGGGCCAGGACUAAACAAUGAUACAAACCAGAUUCCACGAUGAAGAAUGUGGGCACCGUGGGUUGGCAGAGGAUGACUUCAUUGCGCACGGCAGCUACGCAGCAGAAACUCUCGCUUAUCUGGUAAACGGGCUUAAAUAACGGACUUAAAUCACUUCUUUGUCGAAGUGACCCUGCUCCCUCCUAGUCUGUAUUGUGAAUCCUGUGGAAACUAAUUGUAUAAAGGCAGGAGACAGGUAAUGUUCUGUGCGGUGUUUGUCAAAGAGGGCACACGAGGUGCCCAGAGGGCAGGGCUGGCUGGGGAGGCAGCGCAGCGUUGUCUGCAUGGUCGCUGCUUUUUGGGCUGACGAGGGACAGGAACUGAGUGACAGAGUUCAUUUGUGGAGAGAAAAGGGCUUGAGCAAGAUAAUUAGGAAAUGCUGGCCUGGGUGGGUCUCUGUGAUAGUAACAGAGAGGAAAAACUCUAAUUUGUGCCCUUAAGCUGGCAGCAGGUAGCACUGCUGCGCUUACUCGUUAAGGAUAAAUUACUCUUUAAUUUUUUACUGCUGACUUGGCUCUUGCAAGAACCCUUGAAACAGCAAAAGCAGCAUAUUGCCAUCAUAUUUUGGGGGCUUCCUACACUUACUGAAGUAAAAAUCCUUGCCUCAGUUUCCUGCUGGACUGGGCUGCCACGUGGGGUGCGUGGGGAUGCGGGUAGGACAGUAUUUCUGUUGUACUUUCCUGUUUGGAACUUGUUAACCUGACCGAUGUGCUCGGGCAUGCCAGAAAGAGGCUGGGUUUUUUUUCUUGGCAGAAGUUGCUGGCUUAUGUUUAAAAGAUCUGUUCUGGAGCUCGGAAUUUUAAUUAUUUUGAAUCAACUCUUGGUUAAAUUGUUGCUUUUAAAUAAAAUAUUCAUCUUCUGGAAAAGACAUUUAACUGGCUGGAAAUAAUCCUGCUAGACAGUGUAUGUAUUUAUUUAUUUCAGUUUAAAUCUGUUGCUGCUAGGCUUUGGGUUUUUUCCCUGAGAAAACACUGGGAGGAGGGGGAGAAACAGAAGAAAAACAUCAACAAAAAUUUUAUUCUGAACUAAUUGUUCUGAAUUGCAUGAAACAUUUUCUUUUUUUUUCACUACGAAAUGUCCUGAUAGAAGGAUCAUUCAUAUUAAAGAUAAUAUGAAAUGCAAACAUA